UACAGAGGUCUCAAGCGUUGUUCGGAUUCAUUGGGCGUAAAGGGUGCGUAGGUGGCGCGCUAAGUCAGGUGUGAAAUUUCGGAGCUUAACUCCGAAACUGCAUUCGAUACUGCCGUGCUUGAGGACUGGAGAGGAGACUGGAAUUUACGGUGUAGCGGUGAAAUGCGCAGAUAUCGGGAGGAACACCAGUGGCGAAGGCGGCUAACUGGUCCAGCACGUGACGCUGAGGUGCGAAAGCGUGGGGAGCAACA
rnacentral:rRNA from 1 species